GACGAACGCUGGCGGCGUGCUUAACACAUGCAAGUCGAACGAUGAACCCGGAGCUUGCUCCGGUGGAUUAGUGGCGAACGGGUGAGUAACACGUGAGUAACCUGCCCUUGACUCUGGGAUAACUGCGGGAAACUGUAGCUAAUACCGGAUACGACCCUCGGCGGCAUCGCCAGGGGGUGGAAAGAAUUUCGGUCAAGGAUGGACUCGCGGCCUAUCAGCUAGUUGGUGAGGUAACGGAUCACCAAGGCGACGACGGGUAGCCGGCCUGGGAGGGGGACCGGCCACACUGGGACUGAGACACGGCCCAGACUCCGACGGGAGGCAGCAGUGGGGAAUAUUGGGCAAUGGGCGCAAGCCUGACCCAGCGACGCCGCGUGAGGGAUGAAGGCCUUCGGGUUGUAAACCUCUUUCAGUAGGGAAGAAGCGAAAGUGACGGUACCUAAAGAAGAAGCACCGGCUAACUAUGUGCCAGCCGCCGCGGUAA
rnacentral:rRNA from 1 species